rnacentral:rRNA from 1 species
UACGUAGGGAGCGAGCGUUAUCCGGAAUUAUUGGGCGUAAAGAGCGCGCAGGUGGUUGAUUAAGUCUGAUGUGAAAGCCCACGGCUUAACCGUGGAGGGUCAUUGGAAACUGGUCAACUUGAGUGCAGAAGAGGGAAGUGGAAUUCCAUGUGUAGCGGUGAAAUGCGUAGAGAUAUGGAGGAACACCAGUGGCGAAGGCGGCUUCCUGGUCUGUAACUGACACUGAGGCGCGAAAGCGUGGGGAGCAAACAGGAUUAGAUA